rnacentral:rRNA from 1 species
UACGUAGGGGGCAAGCGUUGUCCGGAAUCAUUGGGCGUAAAGCGCGUGUAGGCGCCAGAAAAGUCCGCUGUGAAAACUCGAGGCUCAACUUCGAGCUGUCGGUGGAAACUUUCUGGCUAGAGUCCGGAAGAGGAGAAUGGAAUUCCUGGUGUAGCGGUGAAAUGCGCAGAUAUCAGGAAGAACACCCGUGGCGAAGGCGGCUCUCUGGGACGUGACUGACGCUGAGACGCGAAAGCGUGGGGAGCGAACAGG